rnacentral:rRNA from 1 species
GACGAACGCUGGCGGCAGGCUUAACACAUGCAAGUCGAGCGCCCCGCAAGGGGAUCUGCGGACGGGUGAGGAACGCGUGGGAACGUACCUUUUUGUGUGACACAACUCCGGGAAACGGGAGCUAAUACCGGAUAAGCGCUAACGGGGGAAGGUUUAUCGCCGAAAGCUCGGCGCGCGGCUGAUUAGCUAGUUGGUGAGGUAACGGCUCGCCAAGGCGACGAGCAGUAGCUGGUCUGGGAGGAUGACCAGCCAGAAUGGGGCUGAGACCCGGACCAGACCCCUACGGGAGACAGGAGUGGGGAAUAUAGGAGAAUGGGGGCAAGCCUGACACAGCCAUGCCGCGUGAGUGAUGCAGGGCUUAGGGUUGUACAGCUCUUUUGUCCGGGAAGAUAAUGACUGUACCGGAAGAAUAAGCCCCGGCUAACUUCGUG